rfam:Stegodyphus mimosarum contig57900, whole genome shotgun sequence.
GCCUUCGUGGUGUAGUGGUCAGUCCGCUCGACGCGUAACCGAGAGGUCCGUGGUUCGAUUCCCGGUGAAGUCG